rnacentral:lncRNA from 1 species
UUUGUUUUAUUUUUUGUCUUCUCCCAGUGAUCCAGUUUUUUGACACUGCCAGGGUGGAUCGCACUCGGACCUGGCUCUAUGCUGCCUGCUCUGUCUCCUAUGUGGGCGCCAUGGUCUCCAGCAACUCAGCACUACAGUUUGUCAACUAUCCAACUCAGGUCCUUGGUAAAUCCUGCAAGCCAAUCCCAGUUAUGCUCCUCGGAGUGACCCUCUUGAAGAAGAAGUACCCAUUGGCCAAGUACCUGUGUGUGUUGCUAAUUGUGGCUGG